UAAACGACUCUCGGCAACGGAUAUCUCGGCUCUCGCAUCGAUGAAGAACGUAGCGAAAUGCGAUACUCGGUGUGAAUUGCAGAAUCCCGCGAACCAUCGAGUCUUUGAACGCAAGUUGCGCCCGAAGCCAUUAGGUUGAGGGCACGUCUGCCUGGGCGUCUCAC
rnacentral:rRNA from 1 species